AACUCAGAAAUCUGCCUNCCUCUGCCUCCC
rnacentral:piRNA from 1 species